rnacentral:rRNA from 1 species
AGAGUUUGAUCAUGGCUCAGAAUCAACGCUGGCGGCGUGCCUAAUACAUGCAAGUCGAACGCGAAAGUCCCGCAAGGGGCAAGUAGAGUGGCAAACGGGUGAGUAACGCGUGGGCGACCUACCUUCGAGUGGGGGAUAACCUUCCGAAAGGAGGGCUAAUACCGCAUGACAGCCUCUGUUUGGAUACAGGGGACUCAAAGCCGGGGAUCGCAAGACCUGGCGCUUGGAGAGGGGCCCGCGUCCGAUUAGCUAGUUGGUGGGGUAACGGCUCACCAAGGCUUCGAUCGGUAUCCGGCCUGAGAGGGCGGACGGACACACUGGGACUGAGACACGGCCCAGACUCCUACGGGAGGCAGCAGUAGGGAAUUGUUCGCAAUGGGCGCAAGCCUGACGACGCAACGCCGCGUGGAGGAUGAAGACCUUCGGGUCGUAAACUCCUUUCGACCGAGAUGAAUUCUCGCCGGCCUAAUAUGCCGGCGGGGUGACAGUAUCGAGGGAAGCAGCCCCGGCUAACUCCGUGCCAGCAGCCGCGGUAAUACGGGGGGGGCAAGCGUUGUUCGGAAUUACUGGGCGUAAAGGGUUCGUAGGUGGCCAACUAAGUCAGACGUGAAAUCCCUCAGCUUAACUGGGGAACUGCGUCUGAUACUGGUUGGCUUGAGUGCAGGAGAGGAACGCGGAAUUCCAGGUGUAGCGGUGAAAUGCGUAGAUAUCUGGAGGAACACCGGUGGCGAAGGCGGCGUUCUGGACUGCAACUGACACUGAGGAACGAAAGCCAGGGGAGCAAACGGGAUUAGAUACCCCCGUAGUCC